rnacentral:rRNA from 1 species
UGUUACAAUGGCAGGUACAGAGGGGUGCUACCGGGUGACCGGAUGCCGAUCUCGAAAACCUGUCCCAGUUCGGACUGGAGUCUGCAACCCGACUCCACGAAGUUGGAUUCGCUAGUAAUCGCGCAUCAGCCAUGGCGCGGUGAAUACGUUCCCGGGCCUUGUACACACCGCCCGUCAAGCCAUGGGAGCCGGGGGCGCCUGAAGUCCGGGACCGCGAGGACCGGCCUAGGGCGAAACUGGUGACUGGGGCUAAGUCGUAACAAGGUACC